GUCUACAGCCAUGCUUCUCUGAACACGCCUGAUCCCAUCUGAUCUCGGAAGCUAAGCAGGGUCGGGCCUGGUUAGUACUUGGAUGGGAGACCACCUAGGAAGAUCAGGUGCUAUAGGCA
rnacentral:rRNA from 1 species